rnacentral:snRNA from 14 species
UAACUCAAGUGUAGCUAGAGGGCAAAUGCCUGUUCCUUGCACUGUGGGCAGACUGACCCUUGUGAGAAUCUACAAAUGCCUCCAAACAUGAGGAUCUCGGCUACACAAUUUAUGGCAGUGGGGGAUUGCUUUCUGGCUUUCCCCCU